rnacentral:rRNA from 1 species
GACGAACGCUGGCGGCGUGCCUAAUACAUGCAAGUCGAACGGAAAGGCCCUGCUCUUGUGGGGCGCACGAGUGGCGAAGGGGGGAGUAAAACGUGAGUAUCCUGCCCUUGUCAGUGGGAGAUCUCUAGGAAACAGGGGCUAAUACCGGAUAGGAGCUCCUGCUGCACGGGGGGGGAUGGAAAGUUUCGGCGGUGGGGGAUGGACUCGCGGCUUACCAGCUAGAUGGUGGAGUAGUGGCUUACGACGGGUGCGAAGGGUAGCCGGCCUGGGAGGGUGGACGGCCUCCAUGCGCCUGCGGUACGCACCAGACUCCUACGGGCCGCAGCGGUCGGGAAUAUUGCGCAAUGGGGCGAAGCCUGAGGCAACAACGCUCCGUGCGUAAUGACGGCUUUCGGGUUAUGAACCACUUUCGCAUGUGACGUAGCGUGCGUGACGGUAAUGGGUAAAGAAGCACCGGCUAACUACGUG